rnacentral:lncRNA from 1 species
CUUAAGGAACUAAAAAAAUUACUAAUCAAAUUCAUCGAUUAAUUUUCUAGGGUAAUAAAAAAGAAAGGUGUAUGGGAAGGUACGGAGAGCCCAAUAUUCCAAUCCAAUUGGUCGAUUUCCUUACGUCUUACGUCCUUAUUGGUGUGUGUGAUGGUCUUAACAGCUGCUUUAUUUAUUUUAUUACAGUUUAUUAGGAAUGAAAGUGUGGACUAUAUUCAAUCGAUUAAUGAUGUUUGAUUCCUUUUUAUUCAAGAAUCAAUUUAAUUGAUUUUUUACGUUACGUAACAAUGGAAGGGUCAAUUGAUGAACAGAGAUUGCUAAAUCGACUUGAAGCAAACUGCUAUUUAGUUGAUCUAAAAUUACGAUCAAAAUACAAAGUAAAUCGUAUAAUAAUUAUAAUUUUCAUAAUCAGCAAGACUACCUCAAGAUAAAUAUACAAUAUAUAGAGCUUAUUGGAGCCAGUUUUGGAAAAAUACUCUAGCCUCCGUGAACAAUGAGCUCGAGAUAAUACAAGUACAGCCACGUAUCUACACAUCGAUAAGUUAUAACUUCGUAUGCUGCCGUACGAGGUCCUGAAGAUCAAUUCGAAGAAUCGCUCGUUAAGCCAUUGAUACUGCUUGAUACAUAAGAAAAAAUAUGAGCAGGAAGGCAAAUAAGAAAGUCAGUGUUUCGAAAUCUCCAAGCUGACUCGAUCUUCUCAAAUCUCUCAACGAUGAACUUUAUCUUCUCGAAGGUUCUAAACUAGCAGGAAAAUAGCGUGAGAACAUAAAGCAGAUGUGAGUAUAGAAAUGUACGAAACUAAGCGACACUGUGCAAUAGCACCCGUAGACUGGAUCAGGAUCAGGAAGGCCCAAAGGGUCGAAAGGUUGAAGGGUCCGAGGAAUAACGUGCAUCUGUCCUUGUCUUUUUCUGUCUCUCCUCUUCUCCCUACGUUGCUUGUCAUGCUGAUGCUAAAUUGUGCAUUGGUCACAAAAUAAAUUAUAAAUUUCCGAAGAAAAAGACUCACAAUCUUCAAUUUCUAUGCAUUGUUAUGAGAAGACUAAAAACAAAGGAGCGCUAUUCCUUUCUAAUAAAUCUAAUACAAACAGAACAAUAAUGAAUAUUUGCAUGCCUAUUAACAAGGACUAGAUUGAAUGCAGUGUAAUACGAUGUUUGGAAAAAAUUGUAAAGAGAAAUGUCUGUACAAAGAUUGAGUGGAUUUAAUUUUAGAAAAAUAUUUUACGUGUAGAUUUAUCUUUUUAAGUGUUGAAUUCAACGAUGCAUUCCUCUAUUUUCAGCCAUUUAUUUGUCAUCCGUUUUAUUAUAUAAUAAUCUGUUGUCAAUUCUGAAAAUUAAUUAGAAAUUGAUGAGAUGAUAAAAAUAUGCAUUUAAAUUUGUAAAAUGAUUAAGGAAAAACCAAAAAAGGACACGAGACGGUUACCAGAGCCGUUAUAUUAUAACGCUUAAAUGACGUCACAAUAAAGUUGCACUUUAAAAACUAGCAAGUUGCAGACGUCUGUGCGCGCAUGUGUGCAUGUGUACCUGUUUAAAAAGCGACACGCUCGUGCAGGUAGCUUUUCAUUCGUAUAAACACUCGCGUGAGAAUGUAGGGGAUGCAGAAAUGCCGAAGCACUGUUUCCCACCCUAGAUUCGGCGACCACCCCUUGGGUCGCGCAUUAAGUAUUGCAUAAAUAACUACCGAGCCGCAUUGAGAGACUGGACUGCACUUCCGGCCAUCUGUUUCAUCGGAAAUAACGACUAGUGAUUGUGAUAUUAAUUUUGGAUUCUGAUGAACAAGUGAAUUAAUUUAUAAAUUGAAGAAAGAGAAAAGAAAAUCACAUAACUAUCUGAGAAAUCCUCAAUAAUCUUGAAAAUUUGAAAACUGCGACAUUGAAAACAAUUCUUAUUAACGUAAGAUUAUUCUAGUCAAAUUUUUUUUCUUAAAAAUAUUUUUAUAUUAUUAAAAACAAUCAAGAUAUUUAAUUGGUACUUUUUGUAAGUUUUACUAUAUUUUUUAAAUAGUGUAACUACGCUCCAAUGUAAUACAAGAUGUUAGAUCAGUAUUAGUGAUUUAAACGUUCUUUAAAAAGUGAAAGUGAAGUCAAAUAAAUAUAACGCUUAAAGCAAAAAAAGGAAGAAAAUUAUUUAUUUUAAAAUGCAGAAUUGUAAAUGUUUUUUUUUUUUAAAUGGCGUUUUAAAGUGAAUUAUAUGCAGGCAUUAAAAUUUAGUUAUGAUAGGAUGAAUAUUUCUAUGAUGUAUUUUUACUAUGAUAUUUUACGAUCUUUUAUAAUAUUUUUUUAUUUUAAUGUAUUUGACAACCUUACAUGUGCAAUUAUUGAUUACAUUUUUAUACCAGUAAAAUAUCGAUAAAUAGCGUAUAUAUAUUUAAAUAACAUUUUGAAUAACAAUUAAACAACAAAGAGAAUUAGAGAACACUUCUUUAUCAUAAAGUAACUUUUUUACUUGCAAUAUUGCAAAAACGAGUUGAUCAUUGUUGCCAUGCAUUACUGUGGCAAAACAUGUAAGAUAGUAAGAGUCAUUAACCAAUUAUCUAAGCCGGCAAUCUUCCCCAGUGACUAAUCAGUACCCGCAUUGUUAACGUUGCGUAUCGACGAAUUCAUUUAACUAUCCUUACCGAAUGAUUCAUGUCGAUUUUGCUUUUCCUCGAUGAAUCAAUUCCCAUGAAGGGCAUAUUGUAUGCUGCGGGUGGCGCGUGUCAAUGGUUUUAAAAAUCGCGCAGUACCCAGGCACCCGCGUAUAUACCCGCUCACUCUUCUAAUCAACGUACAAUAUGUGUACAGUGUAUUAUGUCAUUGUCAAAAGAAGUUGAUAACAAUGUGAUAACAGAAGUGGUAACUAAAAAAUUAAGGAGCAAUAACACGAAAAA